UAUAUUUCCAGGAGAAUGAGGAGAACGGCGAGCCCGAGGUAGAUGAUGAAGAUGAUGAUGAAGUGGAUGAGGAGGAGGAGGAAGAUGACGUAGAAGCCGGCGAUGAGGAAGACGAGGAGGACGAUGACGAUGAACUUGAGGGCGGCACAAAACGGCCAGCUGACGACGACGAUGACGACGAUGAGGACGACGUUAAAACCAAGAAGCAGAAAACCGACGACGACGAUUGAUGCGUUUCCCUCGCUCGCGACUUCCCGCUGAAUCACUUCCUGCUUCUCCGCCUGCGACCGUUUUCAUUGGUCGCGAGGGGCAGGAGGACUGAUUCAAAAGGAAAGAAAAUUAUAAUAAAGUAAAAAAAAAAGAAAAAUCCAACAUGGUCAUUAGCAAGUAGAGUUCAACAAACAUCUACACACACACACACACACACACACACACACACACACACACACAC